rnacentral:lncRNA from 1 species
GGCCGACUAAAAGGAGAACAACACAAUAUCAAAUUAUCUUUGGGGAACAUUUAAUUCGUGAGGCUAAUAAGGGUACAGUCAAUUACAAGUCUUGAACCUCUUGAGAAAAUAAUUAGAAUCAAGCAUCUUUAGAUAGAAAAAAAUAGAGCAAUUUUAUGGACCGGGUUCUAUCACAACAAACCCAUCUAGUAAAAAUAUUUCCUGAUUCGCAUAGGUACAAAAAAUAUUCCUACACAGAGACAACACCAAAGGACAAAAACCACUCUCAGGUAAUGUUAGAUGGAAUCUGGGAAUGUGAUUUUUGAACCAAUCAUGCAAAUAAACUAAAUUUCAAAAAUUAACAAGUAAUAAAUAUUCAAAUGAAAACUCUUUAGACCAACAUCUCCCUCUUCUUUGGCAAGUCACGAAGAAUCGUGAGUCCAGCGUUCACCGGGGAAUAUAGGCAAUACUUGAAGUAAUGACGAGAGAAGCCCCACAAAUUCUGAGUAAAACAGGUGAACCGGGAAGAUUAACUAGAGAUCCAGCAAAGAUAACUUCUGCCCAACAAAUUCAAUGAACGAAACCUUAACUAGGACAGUCAAAUAGAAGAGAUAUCGAUUAAGAGAGUUUUUAAUAAGACAAAGAGUUUAGCAUUAAAGCUAGGAUUAACACAUAUUCAAUUGGUACGGCAGACAGUAAAUCAGAUGGCAUUCAAGUUAAAGAAAACCCAAGGCAGCAUAAUGAGUCAACGUGGAAAAUCUUGAAACCAAAAGAAACAAUAAUAAUACUAAGAUUAGCAUAAAAAUUCUCUUGUAAGAAAAAUCAUAAUAAAGUCAUGAACUUUUUGCACAAACAGUCAAGACAGUGAAUUAAACACGACCAAAAUACCCACACCACAUAAUGACGGAUACAAUCAUCGUCACAAGAAUCCUAGGGCCUUCACGGCUCAGAGCAGACAAUUCCCAAGCAUCUCUAAAGCUAAUAACGCCACUAACAGAUCAUUGACAAGAGGAAAACAUCGAAACUAAACCUAACAGAUCAAUGACAAGACGAAAACAUCGAAACUAAAACUAACAGAUUAAUGACAAGGAGAAAACGUCGAAACUAAAAAGGAUGAUAUAUUUACCUCUUAUAGGAUAGUAAAACGGGACCUCGAACUAAGUCAGAAUCAGCCUCCACCGAAACACGUCGUCGUAGUCGGUUUAGAAACUCUAAUUACUAACCAAAUUCCCAAAGAAAAAUAAAAAAAUUUAGCUAAAAGAACUACAUUUUUUCCUUUACUCAAGGCCCUCUUUUCUCUUUUUCAGGACCCCUCUUUUUGCUCUCAAGAGAGCUAUUUAGAGAAGAUCCCCCCUUCAGAAAAAUACACCCAAAAGAAUAUCCUCCCAAAAAUCCAUUUUCUUGCUCUAAAGAGAUUUAUAUAUAGAGAACAGAGAAAAACCCUUUUUCAAAAGUUUUUCCACCGAUGUGGGAUAAAGUCCUUCAGAGGAAAAUUGGGGAAUUCCUCAAAAAGGAAUUCAAAAUUUGAACUCCAUAUCAAAUUCCCCCAACAAAAUUGGUAUUUUUUGAGGGAAUUCAAUGGGGGGUUGGCCAAUAGAAUUUUUUUGCAAAACGAAUUCCCUCAAGAACCAAUAGAAAUCCACCAAAUAUGUACGAAAUAGUACCAUCGUGGUCGAGAUUUGCGCAAUUAGUGUUAUGGUACGUGAGGUGUCCAAUUUCUAGAAAUUUCAUUAAAGAAACACAUUGAAUUCGCGGGUCGGACCCAGAUUCAGGUUUUUUGGGUUUGCGGGUUUGGCGGUUUGGAGCAUACCGUCGACGUUGGUGUUCGUUAGUCGCAAUUUUGGGCUGUUUUUUUUUGUAUCGAUGGUGCUGCUGGGUUUGAUA